rnacentral:tRNA from 1 species
ACUCAGUUGGUAGAGUACAAAUCUCUUAACCUUGUGGACGUGGGUUCAAGCCCCAU